CGUUACAUGCAGAAUAUGUAGAGAAGUUGUCAUCAGUGAAUUUAUAUAUGUAUCAAAAAACAUUGUAAGUUUUGCAUAUUUUUGCACAUUUUUUGCUCUAAAAGUGGAAUCGGGGACAAAUAAGUUAGUCAACAAAUAUUACAACUUUCCUACCCCCCAGUCCGUAACAAGUCCCUUGGCCGCUUGCAGAGCCAUAUUUAUCAUAGUUUUGCACGCCGUGUUUAUCAGUUUGAGAUACGUGUCCUUAUUUUUCAUAAUUAUUUCCGUAAUGAUGUCACUGUCAUCCUCUGCCCAUUUUCCAAGUCCCAGCACUCGGAAGAAAAUACUUCCCAUGGAAAUUUCAAAGUGCUCAAGCACCAGGUUUUGCGACAUGAAUGAGAUCGUUGUCCCCAACUGCUCGGACUCGGAAUGCUAUCCCAACCGAGGGAUCGUUGUUGCUGAUUAAUUGGAUUUAUUAUUAAUUCGUAACUGCUUGCUGCGAAACGUUCGUGUUUACUGCGGAUACCGCAACAAAUGCUGUUAUGCAAAUGUAUAAUGUACAUUGUUUCAUGAUAUUAAGGAUAUAUCGGUUUCAGAAAUAUGCCUGGAUGUUAUCCUACCCGAUAUUAAGAUGCGUGUACAUAAGUGUAUAAAUCUAAGACACGAAAUUUAAUACCAUCCGGUAUGUACAUACAUAGUGCCAAACUGUCGGAUGCAAUUGCAGGCUUCGGAAACAAAGUUAUUAUUAUUGGUUAAUGGGUCCAUUGUUUAAUUACAAUUUGUGACACGUGCUUAAAUCAUGAAAACUAAUUUUGGAAUUAUGGAUAUUUUCACCUCUCGGCAUUUAUGUGUGAACAUUAAUUAAACUAAAUACGUGUAUUAUUUUGGUACAUGCGUUUAUUGUCAAAUUAACUUGUCAAACUCCCAAUCACUUCAAUAUGUAGUAAUUGUCAUGAAAAUUUUGACAGACAUUGUACAUACGUGAAUUUAGCAAAAGGAUGCAUAUUUUCGUACUUAUAAUCAUUAAAAGAAUUAAUUUUUUGAAAUCAUUCUGAAA